rnacentral:rRNA from 1 species
AUGAAAGACAACGCAAGCCCCGGGCAGGAUGGCUUUGGCCCAGCUUUCUUCAAGGCCAACUGGAAUCUUGUUAAAAUUGAUCUCCUUAAUCUGCUAAACGAUUUUCAUGCGGGCACGGCCGAUCUUAAGCGUUUGAACACAGCUCAUAUUGUCCUUCUACACAAAAAAUUGGACGCAUGUACGCCUGAAGCCUACCGCCCGGUGUCCCUCCAGAAUUGCACUGUCAAGCUAGCUUCUAAGUGCCUCUCCAACCGAACCCAGCCGCUUAUCGAACACCUUAUCCAUUGCGAACAAACGGGCUUUAUAAGGGGGCGUGGAAUCGCUGACAAUUUUGUUCACGCUGCCGACAUCGUUCAAACUUGCUUUAAGCGCCGCCUUCCAGCAAUUGUCCUUAAGCUCGACUUCCACAAGGCCUUUGACUUUGUGUCUUGGAUCGCCCUUGCUGCGAUUUUACGGGCCAAUGGGUUUCCCCCCGCUUGGUGCCGUUGGGUGGAAAGCUUGAACGUUUCGGCCAGCUCUGCUGUUGUAUUAAACGGGAAGCCGGGACCUUGGUUCCAGUGCCGUCAGGGCCUGAGGCAAGGGGACCCCUACUCCCCCUACCUUUUCAUUCUAGUCGCCGAUGUGCUAAAACGUCUAAUUAUCCAAGCCUCGCAAAAUGGCCUCCUCUCCCACCCAAUUGAUGACAAUUUUCCCUGCACCGUCCUGCAAUAUGCCGAUGACACGCUAAUUGUCCUUCCGCCUGACGCAACUCAAUUACGGACCUUCAAGAAUAUCCUGCUCCAAUUCUCUGAGGCCACUGGCCUCACCAUUAAUUUCCAUAAAAGCACCUUCACUCCAAUCCACGUCGACCCGGGGAUUUCUGCAAGCCAUGGGGCAAUCCUAGGCUGCCCGGUUGCCACCUCUAUCCACUCAUAA